rnacentral:rRNA from 1 species
UUAGAGUUUGAUCCUGGCUCAGGAUGAACGCUGGCGGCGUGCCUAACACAUGCAAGUCGAACGAGGAUGUAAGGUGCUUGCACCGAGCAUCCGAGUGGCGGACGGGUGAGUAACGCGUGGGUAACCUGCCUCACACAGGGGGACAACAGCUGGAAACGGCUGCUAAUACCGCAUAAGCGCACGGUACCGCAUGGUAGAGUGUGAAAAGCUCCGGCAGUGUGAGAUGGGCCCGCGUUGGAUUAGGUAGUUGGUGGGGUAAAGGCCUACCAAGCCGACGAUCCAUAGCCGACCUGAGAGGGUGACCGGCCACAUUGGGACUGAGACACGGCCCAAACUCCUACGGGAGGCAGCAGUGGGGAAUAUUGCACAAUGGACGGAAGUCUGAACCAGCCAUGCCGCGUGCAGGAAUAAGGCCCUAUGGGUCGUAAACUGCUUUUGUGGUGGAGCAAUAAGUCGUACGUGUACGGCGAUGAGAGUACAUCACGAAUAAGCAUCGGCUAACUCCGUGCCAGCAGCCGCGGUAAUACGGAGGAUGCAAGCGUUAUCCGGAUUUAUUGGGUUUAAAGGGUGCGUAGGCUGUUCGACAAGUCAGGGGUGAAAGCCCGGCGCUUAACGCCGGAACUGCCUUUGAUACUGCCGAGCUGGAAUACGGAUGCCGUGGGAGGAAUGAGUAGUGUAGCGGUGAAAUGCAUAGAUAUUACUCAGAACACCGAUUGCGAAGGCAUCUCACGAAUCCGUCAUUGACGCUGAGGCACGAAAGCGUGGGGAUCAAACAGGAUUAGAUACCCUGGUAGUCCACGCAGUAAACGAUGAUAACUAACCGUCGGCGAUACACAGUCGGUGGCCAAGCGAAAGCGAUAAGUUAUCCACCUGGGGAGUACGUUCGCAAGAAUGAAACUCAAAGGAAUUGACGGGGGCCCGCACAAGCGGAGGAACAUGUGGUUUAAUUCGAUGAUACGCGAGGAACCUUACCCGGGCUCGAACGGCAAGUGAAGAGAAGCAGAGAUGCUGACGUCCUUCGGGACACUUGUCGAGGUGCUGCAUGGUUGUCGUCAGCUCGUGUCGUGAGAUGUUGGCUUAAGUGCCAUAACGAGCGCAACCCUUGUCGGUAGUUACCAUCAGGCAAAGCUGGGGACUCUACCGAGACUGCUACCGCAAGGUGUGAGGAAGGCGGGGAUGACGUCAAAUCAGCACGGCCCCUACGUCCGGGGCGACACACGUGUUACAAUGGCAGCUACAGAGGGAAGCCACCUGGUGACAGGGAGCAGAUCUCGAAAAGCUGUCUCAGUUCGGAUUGGAGUCUGCAACUCGACUCCAUGAAGCUGGAUUCGCUAGUAAUCGCGCAUCAGCCAUGGCGCGGUGAAUACGUUCCCGGGCCUUGCACACACCGCCCGUCAAG